rnacentral:rRNA from 1 species
AACGAACGCUGGCGGCAUGCCUAACACAUGCAAGUCGAACGAGACCGCCGGGUCUAGUGGCGCACGGCGGCGUGAGGAGGGGGAACCUGCCCGUAGGUUCCGAAUAACUCCCCGAGAGGGAUGCUAAGACCAGAUAAUGUCUUAGGACCAAAGAUUUUUCGCCUUUGGAUGGGCCCGCGUUGGAUUAGCUGGUUGGUAGGGUAAUAGCCUACCAAGGCGAGGAUCCAUAGCUGGUCGGAGAGGAUGCUCAGCCACACUGGGACUGAGACACGGCCCAGACCCGUACGGGAGGCAGCAGUGGGGAAUAUUGGAAAAUGGGCGCAAGCCUAACCCAGCCAUGCCGCGGGAGACAUGAAGGCCGUUGGGAUGUGAAGUCCUUUUACCCGGGAUGAUAAUGACAGUACCGGGUAAAUAAGCUCCGGCUAACUACGUG